rnacentral:rRNA from 1 species
AGAGUUUGAUCCUGGCUCAGGAUGAACGCUAGCGGCAGGCUUAACACAUGCAAGUCGAGGGGCAGCAUAAUGGAUAGCAAUAUCUAUGGUGGCGACCGGCGCACGGGUGCGUAACGCGUAUGCAACCUACCUUUAACAGGGGGAUAACACUGAGAAAUUGGUACUAAUACCCCAUAAUAUCAUAGAAGGCAUCUUUUAUGGUUGAAAAUUCCGAUGGUUAGAGAUGGGCAUGCGUUGUAUUAGCUAGUUGGUGGGGUAACGGCUCACCAAGGCGACGAUACAUAGGGGGACUGAGAGGUUAACCCCCCACACUGGUACUGAGACACGGACCAGACUCCUACGGGAGGCAGCAGUGAGGAAUAUUGGUCAAUGGACGCAAGUCUGAACCAGCCAUGCCGCGUGCAGGAAGACGGCUCUAUGAGUUGUAAACUGCUUUUGUACGAGGGUAAACGCAGAUACGUGUAUCUGUCUGAAAGUAUCGUACGAAUAAGGAUCGGCUAACUCCGUGCCAGCAGCCGCGGUAAUACGGAGGAUUCAAGCGUUAUCCGGAUUUAUUGGGUUUAAAGGGUGCGUAGGCGGUUUGAUAAGUUAGAGGUGAAAUUUCGGGGCUCAACCCUGAACGUGCCUCUAAUACUGUUGAGCUAGAGAGUAGUUGCGGUAGGCGGAAUGUAUGGUGUAGCGGUGAAAUGCUUAGAGAUCAUACAGAACACCGAUUGCGAAGGCAGCUUACCAAACUAUAUCUGACGUUGAGGCACGAAAGCGUGGGGAGCAAACAGGAUUAGAUACCCUGGUAGUCCACGCAGUAAACGAUGAUAACUCGUUG